rnacentral:tRNA from 1 species
GGCUAGGUAACUCAGUCUGGUUAGAGUGUCACGCUCAUAAGGGUUGAGCGAUGAGGCGUAUGCCGAUGAUUAACCCCUCAACCAACUGAGAGACGUGGAAACUUGGUAUGGAAGAAGCCAAGCCCGAAGUCGCGAGUUCAAAUCUCGCCCUAGCCA